UACGGAGGGUGCAAGCGUUAAUCGGAAUUACUGGGCGUAAAGCGCACGCAGGCGGUUGGAUAAGUUAGAUGUGAAAGCGCCGGGCUCAAACUGGGAAUUGCAUUUAAAACUGUACAGCUUGAGUCUUGUAGAGGGGGGUAGAAUUCCAGGUGUAGCGGUGAAAUGAGUAGAGAUCUGGAGGGAUACCGGUGGCGAAGGGGGCCCCCUGGACAAAGACUGACGCUCAGGUGCGAAAGCGUGGGGAGCAAACAGG
rnacentral:rRNA from 1 species